rnacentral:lncRNA from 1 species
GGCUAAGACAUCUGAGCCCCCUUUGUCCCAACUCUAAGCCGGACUCUGCUGUUCCAUCCUGAGCCUGUCCUCCGUCUCCCACCACCGGGAGUCCUCUGCUGCUUACCCCUGCUGAUCCACCGAGUCUAUGACUGCUGCUACAUCAGUCUCCAAGACCUGGCUCGAUCAUGCCUAUUCCCAGCGGUCAUCCAUGUCUCCAGGAAAAAGCGGCUCUGCUUCUCCCUGAAUGGACAGAAUUAGAGCACGCCACUAAAGUGACAUCGGGCAGAAAAGGAAGGCUCACACCAGCAGUGGGAGGAAAUUACUUGAUGCAGAGAAGCAGUGUUCCUUUAUGAGUAGAUGAGCUAAGUCCACUUGAAGAAGAAGACAGUCCUGUUGGAGGGACAAGCUCUAAGGUGAGGCCGGCCCAUCAGAAAGCUGCCUCACCACAUUUCAGCACUGCAAAGGCCUUCUCAUACCCUGCUCCAUCCUCGUGCGGGUGAGGCACAGAUGCACAGGGAAGCUGAAUUAUUUACCAGUCGUGCAGCCUGUGAGGGGUAGCCUGGGCUUAAGCACGGGCCUCUCAAUUCUCCAUUUUGCUGUUAUUUUUCUUUAUUUCUAAUAAUUAAAAGCCUUGCCAUAU